rnacentral:lncRNA from 1 species
UAUUUCAUAAUUUCUGUACAUUGUGCAUUUCACUUCUUGCUUUGCUUCUCUCUUUUUUUGCUUCUAGUCUCAUGGACCUUGUGCUUUUUCGGCUUUGCGCUUUCAAAAACAAUGUGAACAACUAAACCUGAACAUACCAAAAAAGUAUUCACAAGAAAGGUUUGUUUCUCAUCAAUUAACUAAGAAGCACUAGAAAAUGAUCAUAACUUUCUUCAAUAAGUUACACAUUGAAUUCAAAACUCCUAUUUUGUGAGCUUCACACAGCAUACUCUGGCCCAAACCAGAAUAAAGAAGACAAGUGCUCAAAUUAUGAUGAAGAUUCAGAAGAUUUUUAAAGGAGCUCAACUAGUUUGUGAUUGAGGCUUUCUAAUUGAUUGAAAUCAAAAUUCAGGUAACAGACAAAGGAAAAAAAUUGAUGAUAAUUUGAAGAACCUGAAGGCAGAUGGAUUAAUAUCUCGAAAUGCAACAACUUUAUCAUCCUGCAAAAGCAAAUUAAAGCUACAAAAAGUUAAAUUACUGCGUGUGUGAGAGAGAAUUGCACCCACUAAGGGUCUAGGGAGGGUAGUGUGUACCCAUACCUGGGUAGAGAGGGGGUUGCUUACCAUCAGAGUCACCCCUCUUGUCUAAAUGCAGCCUAAAUGCAGCGACUUUAUCAUCCCUAAAAAAUCAAAUAUAAGCUACAAAAUUUCAAAUUACUCUCUCUGAGUGUGUGCGCGAGUGCGAAAAAUUCAACAACUUAAUCAUCCUGCAAAAAUCAAUUAAUGCUACAAAAAAAUUAAAUUACUCAGUGUGUGCGUGAAAUGCAACGACUUUAUCAUCCCUAAAAAUCAAUAUUAAAGCUACAAAAUCUCAAAUUACUCUAUGUGUGUGUGAGAGAGAAAAUUGUGAUCUUACGGAGUGAAGGAGAGUGGUGGAAGUGGAAGAGGUAGCGAUUUGGCAAAAUAUACAUUCCGAUAAAGCUGCUCCCCUUAGCAUUCUUCCGCCCGCAGUU